GUAAGAAAUGUCCAAAGACCAACUUCAAUAAAUGUUAUUGGGAUUUUGAGGAUCCAUGUCAGAAGGGCAUAAGCCCAUGAAGGAUAAAAAAGAAGGUCCCUUUGCUUGAAGUAGACUGGAAGCUUUAAAAUCGUCAGGUUGAUCUCAGCCAUUCCAUUAAACAUAAUCACAACGACUACGAAAAAGAGAGCACCAGCAUACAUCCCUCCAUCAUCCAUAUUAUCUCGGGGCAUCUCAGUACGGAAAAAGACGGACAUCAUUAUAAAUGCCAUUACCAUGAGCUGA